rnacentral:rRNA from 1 species
CGGCGUGCUAUACAUGCAAGUCGAACGAACGGAGGAAGAGCUUGCUCUUCCAAAGUUAGUGGCGGACGGGUGAGUAACACGUGGGCAACCUGCCUGUAAGUUGGGGAUAACUCCGGGAAACCGGGGCUAAUACCGAAUGAUAAGGAGUGACGCAUGUCACUGCUUUGAAAGAUGGUUUCGGCUAUCGCUUACAGAUGGGCCCGCGGUGCAUUAGCUAGUUGGUAGGGUAAAGGCCUACCAAGGCAACGAUGCAUAGCCGACCUGAGAGGGUGAUCGGCCACACUGGGACUGAGACACGGCCCAGACUCCUACGGGAGGCAGCAGUAGGGAAUCUUCCGCAAUGGACGAAAGUCUGACGGAGCAACGCCGCGUGUAUGAAGAAGGUUUUCGGAUCGUAAAGUACUGUUGUUAGAGAAGAACAAGGAUAAGAGUAACUGCUUGUCCCUUGACGGUAUCUAACCAGAAAGCCACGGCUAACUACGUG